rnacentral:tRNA from 1 species
UAUACUAAAACCAAAACAGAGGUAAAUCUUUGUUAAAGAUUUUAUUGGAAUGAACCUAAUAUUA